UGAAUACGAGAUGCUACGGCGUCGAAGCAGUCUAUGUCAUACUUCCAAGAAAAGCUCGCACUGUCAUAAACAAAUAAUGCCUGUACCACAACCGACACAGGUGGGUAGGUAGAGUAUACUAAGGGGCGCGAGAUAACUCUCUCUAAGGAACUCGGCAAAAUGACUCCGUAACUUCGGGAGAAGGAGUGCCUUAUUUAUAAGGUUGCAAUAACAAGAUCCAAGCGACUGUUUAUCAAAAACACAGGUCUCCGCUAAGUCGUAAGACGAUGUAUGGGGGCUGACGCCUGCCCAGUGCCAGAAGGUUAAAGAAGUUGGUUAGCAUUCGCGAAGCUGAUAACUGAAGCCUUGGUGAACGGCGGCCGUAACAAUAACGGUCCUAAGGUAGCGAAAUUCCUUAUCGGGUAAGUUCCGACCCGCACGAAUGGCGUAAUGAUUUGGAUACUGUCUCGGAGAGGGGCUCGGUGAAAUAGACUUCUGUGAAGAUGCGGACUACCUGCACCAGGACAGAAAGACCCUAUGAAGCUUUACUGUAACUUGAGAUUGAAAUUGGACUUUACUUGCGCAGUAUAGGUGGGAGGCGUUGAUAAUAUUCUUGCGGGAUUAUUUGAGCCAUCAGUGAGAUACCACUCUUGUAAUGUUAGAUUUCUAACUUUGUAUCAUUAUCUGGUCAAAGGACAGUUUCAGGCGGGCAGUUUGACUGGGGCGGUCGCCUCCUAAACGGUAACGGAGGCGCACAAAGGUUUCCUCUGAACGGGUAGAAAUCGUACCUAGAGUGUAAAGGCAUAAGGAAGCUUGACUGUGAGACCUACAAGUCGAGCAGGGACGAAAGUCGGUCUUAGUGAUCUGACGGUGCUGAGUGGAAAGGCCGUCACUCAACGGAUAAAAGUUACUCUAAGGAUGACAGGCUGAUCUCCCCCAAGAGUUCACAUCGACGGGGAGGUUUGGCACCUCGAUGUCGGCUCAUCGCAUCCUGGGGCGGUAGUACGUCCCAAGGGUUGGGCUGUUCGCCCAUGAAAGCGGUACGCGAGCUGGGUUCAGAACGUCGUGAGACAGUUCGGUCCAUAUCCGGUGUAGGCGUUAGAAUAUUGAGAGGAGCCUUCUUUAGUACGAGAGGACCGAGAAGGACAUACCUCUGGUGUACCAGUUAUCGUGCCAACGGUAAACGCUGGGUAGCUAUGUAUGGAGUGGAUAACCGCUGAAAGCAUCUAAGUGGGAAGCCCACCUCAAGAUAAGUA
rnacentral:rRNA from 1 species